rnacentral:rRNA from 1 species
GAUGAACGCUGGCGGCGUGCCUAACACAUGCAAGUCGAACGAAGGUAUAUAUAGGAAGUCUUCGGAUGGAAUAUGUAUAACUUAGUGGCGGACGGGUGAGUAACGCGUAAGUAAUCAACCUGUGACACACGGAUAACUGAUAGAAAUGUCAGCUAAUACGAGAUGAACUGUUUAAAUUGGGAAAUGGAAACAGCAAAGCGAAAGCGGUCACAGACGAGCUUGCGUCUGAUUAGCUAGUUGGUGGGGUAAGAGCCUACCAAGGCGACGAUCAGUAGCCGGCCUGAGAGGGUGAACGGCCACAUUGGAACUGAGACACGGUCCAAACUCCUACGGGAGGCAGCAGUGGGGGAUAUUGCACAAUGGGGGGAACCCUGAUGCAGCAACGCCGCGUGAGUGAAGAAGGCCCUAGGGUCGUAAAGCUCUGUCGUAUGGGAAGAAACAAAUGACUGUACCAUACAAGAAAGCCCCG